rnacentral:rRNA from 1 species
AGAGUUUGAUCCUGGCUCAGGAUGAACGCUGGCGGCGUGCCUAAUACAUGCAAGUCGAACGGAGGUCGCAAGGCCUCAGUGGCGAACGGGUGAGUAACGCGUUGGUGACCUGCCCCGGAGAGAGGGAUAACAGUUCGAAAGGACUGCUAAUACCCCAUGUGGUUUUAGAGAUUAGAGGCUUUAAAACUAAAGGUGCAAACCGCUUUGGGAGGGACCUGCGUCCCAUCAGCUAGUUGGUAGGGUAACGGCCUACCAAGGCGACGACGGGUAGGGGGCCUGAGAGGGUGGCCCCCCACACUGGCACUGAAACACGGGCCAGACACCUACGGGUGGCAGCAGUAGGGAAUAUUGCACAAUGGGCGAAAGCCUGAUGCAGCAACGCCGCGUGCGCGAUGAAGGCCUUCGGGUCGUAAAGCGCUUUUCGGGGAGAUGAGGAAGGACAGUAUCCCCGGAAUAAGUCUCGGCUAACUACGUGCCAGCAGCCGCGGUAACACGUAGGAGGCAAGCGUUAUCCGAAUUUACUGGGCGUAAAGCGCGUGCAGGCGGUUUGGUAAGUUGGAUGUGAAAGCUCCCGGCUCAACUGGGAGAGGUCGUUCAAAACUACCAGACUUGAGGGCGGUAGAGGGAAGUGGAAUUCCGUGUGUAGUGGUGAAAUGCGUAGAUAUACGGAGGAACACCAGUGGCGAAAGCGGCUUCCUGGACCGAUCCUGACGCUCAGACGCGAAAGCUAGGGGAGCAAACGGGAUUAGAGACCCCGGUAGUCCUAGCUGUAAACGAUGUGAACUGGGCGUCGGUGGGUUUAAAUCCAUCGGUGCCGUAGCUAACGCGAUAAGUCACCGCCUGGG